GCCGGAGUAGCUCAGUUGGCAGAGCACCUCACUUGUAAUGAGGAGUGCGUGGGUUCGAGUCCCUCCUCCGGCU
rnacentral:tRNA from 1 species